rnacentral:lncRNA from 1 species
CAUGCCAGUAAAGGCUCCCCCUCAAACUACUGCAGCUCCCACUACUGAAGCUCCAACUACGACAGAAGCAACUUCAUCCACUGCCUCUAAGCUUCCCCCACAAGAGCAGCAGCAGCAGCAGCAACAGCAGCAGUUGAUGCAGCAGCAGCAGCAGCAGCAGCAGCAGCAGUUGAUGCAGCAGCAACAGUUGAAGCAGCAGCAGCAGCAAGAAUUGAUGCACUCUUACUUCAUGUACCCAGGAUACAGAAACCCUUUCAUGCCAGUGAAGGCUCCCUACCAAACUACUGCAGCUCCAACUACUACAGAAGCAACGUCAUCCACUACAGAAGCAACGUCAUCCACUACAGAAGCAACGUCAUCCACUACAGAAGCAACGUCAUCCACUACAGAAGCAACUUCAUCCACUGCAGAAGCAACUUCAUCCACUGCAGAAGCAACUUCAUCCACUGCAGAAGCAACUUCAUCCACUGCAGAAGCAACUUCAUCCACUGCAGAAGCAACUUCAUCCACUGCAGAAGCAACUUCAUCCACUGCAGAAGCAACUUCAUCCACUGCCUCUAAGCUUCCCCCACAAGAUCAGCAGCAGCAACAGUUGAUGCAGCAGCAGCAGCAACAGUUGAUGCAACAGUUGAAGCAGCAGCAGCAGCAGCAGCAAGAAUUGAUGGACUAUUACUUCAUGUACCCAGGAUACAGAAACCCUUUCAUGCCAGUAAAGGCUCCCCCUCAAACUACUGCAGCUCCCACUACUGAAGCUCCAACUACGACAGAAGCAACUUCAUCCACUGCCUCUAAGCUUCCCCCACAAGAGCAGCAGCAGCAGCAGCAACAGCAGCAGCAGCAGCAACAGUUGAAGCAGCAGCAGCAGCAAGAAUUGAUGCACUCUUACUUCAUGUACCCAGGAUACAGAAACCCUUUCAUGCCAGUGAAGGCUCCCUACCAAACUACUGCAGCUCCCACUACUACAGAAGCAACUUCAUCCACUACAGAAGCAACUUCAUCCACUGCCUGUAAGCUUCCCCAACAUCAGCAGCAAUACUCUAACCCUUUCAUGCCAUCGAAGGCUCCCUGCCAACCUACUGAAGUGGCUUCAACCACGUUCAAGCAAAAUCAAGUCUUGCAGCAGCGGCAGUUAACGGACAUUGACCUUUUCUCACGACCCAUGCCAGCUAAGGCUUCACCAUCCACUGCUGCUCCAACGACCACUCCAUCAGAACUGCCAACCGUCUGCCCUCACAAAAAAUUAGAGUCUGCAGGAGAUUUCUAACUACAAUGAACCCCUCAAACCUUUUUAUAUGCAACUUUGUGGCAAUAAAUACAAUUGUUUAAGCA